rnacentral:rRNA from 1 species
CCUACGGGUGGCAGCAGUAGGGAAUAUUGCACAAUGGGGGAAACCCUGAUGCAGCGACGCCGCGUGAGUGAAGAAGUAUUUCGGUAUGUAAAGCUCUAUCAGCAGGGGGGAAAAUGACGGUACCUGAUGAAGAAGCCCCGGCUAACUACGUGCCAGCAGCCGCGGUAAUGCGUAGGGGGCAAGCGUUAUCCGGAUUUACUGGGUGUAAAGGGAGCGUAGACGGCAGGACAAGUCUGGAGUGAAAUGCCGGGGCUUAAACCGGGAACUGCUUUGGAAACUGUGCGGCUAGAGUGCAGGAGAGGCAAGUGGAAUUCGUAGUGUAGCGGUGAAAUGCGUAGAUAUUAGGAGGAACACCAGUGGCGAAGGCGGCUUACUGGAGUGCAACUGACGUUGAGGCUCGAAGGUGUGGGGAGCAAACAGGAUUAGAUACCCCUGUAGUC